CGAUGAGAGAAGAACCCCGCUCGCAGGGGACUGCGGGCGGACCCGGGACGGGACCUCCCCAGUACCGCCCCGGACGUGCCUUCGCGCACGGUGCCGGCGCCUCGCGUGCCGGCGAUCCUCACCGAUCGGA
rnacentral:ncRNA from 1 species